GGCUGAAUAGCUCAGUGGUAAGAGCAGUCGUCUGGCAAGCAAAAGUCUUGGGUUCGAUUCCCGAUUCAGCGA
rfam:Camponotus floridanus CamFlo_1.0_1.contig6111, whole genome shotgun sequence.